UUGAACGCUGGCGGCAGGCCUAACACAUGCAAGUCGAGCGGUAGCACAGAGAGCUUGCUCUCGGGUGACGAGCGGCGGACGGGUGAGUAAUGUCUGGGAAACUGCCUGAUGGAGGGGGAUAACUACUGGAAACGGUAGCUAAUACCGCAUAAUGUCGCAAGACCAAAGUGGGGGACCUUCGGGCCUCAUGCCAUCAGAUGUGCCCAGAUGGGAUUAGCUAGUAGGUGGGGUAACGGCUCACCUAGGCGACGAUCCCUAGCUGGUCUGAGAGGAUGACCAGCCACACUGGAACUGAGACACGGUCCAGACUCCUACGGGAGGCAGCAGUGGGGAAUAUUGCACAAUGGGCGCAAGCCUGAUGCAGCCAUGCCGCGUGUGUGAAGAAGGCCUUCGGGUUGUAAAGCACUUUCAGCGGGGAGGAAGGCGUUAAGGUUAAUAACCUUGGCGAUUGACGUUACCCGCAGAAGAAGCACCGGCUAACUCCGUGCCAGCAGCCGCGGUAAUACGGAGGGUGCAAGCGUUAAUCGGAAUUACUGGGCGUAAAGCGCACGCAGGCGGUCUGUCAAGUCGGAUGUGAAAUCCCCGGGCUCAACCUGGGAACUGCAUUCGAAACUGGCAGGCUAGAGUCUUGUAGAGGGGGGUAGAAUUCCAGGUGUAGCGGUGAAAUGCGUAGAGAUCUGGAGGAAUACCGGUGGCGAAGGCGGCCCCCUGGACAAAGACUGACGCUCAGGUGCGAAAGCGUGGGGAGCAAACAGGAUUAGAUACCCUGGUAGUCCACGCCGUAAACGAUGUCGAUUUGGAGGUUGUGCCCUUGAGGCGUGGCUUCCGGAGCUAACGCGUUAAAUCGACCGCCUGGGGAGUACGGCCGCAAGGUUAAAACUCAAAUGAAUUGACGGGGGCCCGCACAAGCGGUGGAGCAUGUGGUUUAGUUCGAUGCAACGCGAAGAACCUUACCUGGUCUUGACAUCCACAGAACUUUCCAGAGAUGGAUUGGUGCCUUCGGGAACUGUGAGACAGGUGCUGCAUGGCUGUCGUCAGCUCGUGUUGUGAAAUGUUGGGUUAAGUCCCGCAACGAGCGCAACCCUUAUCCUUUGUUGCCAGCGGUCCGGCCGGGAACUCAAAGGAGACUGCCAGUGAUAAACUGGAGGAAGGUGGGGAUGACGUCAAGUCAUCAUGGCCCUUACGACCAGGGCUACACACGUGCUACAAUGGCAUAUACAAAGAGAAGCGACCUCGCGAGAGCAAGCGGACCUCAUAAAGUAUGUCGUAGUCCGGAUUGGAGUCUGCAACUCGACUCCAUGAAGUCGGAAUCGCUAGUAAUCGUAGAUCAGAAUGCUACGGUGAAUACGUUCCCGGGCCUUGUACACACCGCCCGUCACACCAUGGGAGUGGGUUGCAAAAGAAGUAGGUAGCUUAACCUUCGGGAGGGCGCUUACCACUUUGUGAUUCAUGACUGGGGUG
rnacentral:rRNA from 1 species